GAUGAACGCUAGCUACAGGCUUAACACGUGCAAGUCGCGGGGCAGCAUGGGGGUUGCUUGCAAUCCCCGAUGGCGACCGGCGCACGGGUGAGUAACGCGUAUCCAACCUGCCCUUCACCACGGGAUAACCCGGCGAAAGUCGGACUAAUACCGUAUGUUGUCCAUUGACGGCAUCCGAUUUGGACGAAAGGCUUGGCGGUGAGGGAUGGGGAUGCGUCCGAUUAGCCAGACGGCGGGGUAACGGCCCACCGUGGCUACGAUCGGUAGGGGUUCUGAGAGGAAGGUCCCCCACACUGGAACUGAGACACGGUCCAGACUCCUACGGGAGGCAGCAGUGAGGAAUAGUGGUCAAGGGGCGUAAGCCUGAACCAGCCAAGUAGCGUGCAGGAUGACGGCCCUAUGGGUUGUAAACUGCUUUUAUGCGGGGAUAAAGUGGCCCACGGGUGGGCUUUUGCAGGUACCGCAUGAAUAAGGACCGGCUAAUUCCGUG
rnacentral:rRNA from 1 species